rnacentral:rRNA from 1 species
AGUGAACGCUGGCGGUAGGCCUAACACAUGCAAGUCGAACGGAUGGCGGACGGGUGGAGAGUACAUCGGCAUCUACUUUAUCGACGGGGAAAACGGGGGGAAACUUUCGAAAAUACCGCAAACGGUUGAAUCAGCCGACGUCGGAUUAGCGAGUUGGCGGGGUAAAGGCCCACCAAGGGGACGCUCCGUAGCUGGUCUGAGAGGAUGAUCAGCCACACUGGGACUGAGACACGGUCCAGACUCCUACGGGAGGCAACAGUGGGGAAUAUUGGACAAUGGGCGCAAGCCUGAUCCAGCCACGCCGCGUGGGUGAAGAAGGCUUUCGGGUUGUAAAGCCCUGUUGUUGGGAAAGCGGUACCCAAAGAAUAAGCACCGGCUAACUUCGUGCCAGCAGCCGCGGUAAUAC